ACAUUAUUUGCAUAUUCUAAAGCAAAAAAGGAAGAAAAAAAAACGAUCUACCUGUCUGUUGCAAUAGGAUUAAAAAGGGUGUGACUGUUGAAGAGAAAAGCUCAAUGAAGGCUAUUCCUUGCAUCAUUCAGAAAAAAGCCAAGUGUACUUUGAAAAUUCUUGGGGAGAUUGGCAUAGAACUAGUGGGAAAGACGAAAAGCCCACAUUGAGCUUUGUGAUGGCAGGCUCUUUGCUGGGCUCCACUGGUCUGCUUCUCUUAUGUAUGCUUUGCACUUCACAGGAAAGAUCUCCAGGAAAAUGUGAUCGCCCACCUUCUAUUGAAAAUGGAGAUAUUACUGAAAUGCCUAAAAAAGAAUAUAUGUCAGGUGGAACUGUACACUACAAAUGUCAAAGAUUCUACUUAAUGCAUGGGAAUUCAGUAGUUCAUUGUCUCAAUGGCCGUUGGUCUGAAACUCCACGGUGCUUAGUUCCAUGUACCGUAAGUGAAGACGACAUGCAACGUAACAAUAUAAGGCUGAGGUGGUCAGGAGAAGAAAAAAUAUAUACUAUGUCUGGGGAUGUAACAGAAUUUACCUGUAAAAGGGGCUACAUGCCAGCUUCAUAUUCUCCUUCAUUCAGAGUACAAUGUAUAGAUGGGACACUUGAAUACCCACAAUGCAUAUGAUGUGUCCAAAUACAAUGAAUUGGGAGAAUUAUAGAAGGGAUUUUUAACCAGCAUGUUAUCUUCAGAAGCAAUAGACCUUUUAUCUUCAAUACAAAUCAUUCUGGAUUUCUGGAAAUACAUUUUAAAGGAUUUUAUGCAACUACUUUUCAUUGAUUGUGAAUGUCACACUGAAUAUGUACUCUAGAGAUGACCACUCCAGCACUUAUCAAGGGGGGAGUGAUAGAAAGCAUAGGGCUAGUUUAUUUUUAAUGCAACUCUCUUUCAAACUGAAAAAAAAAUCUAUAGAAAAAAAAUUAUAGGAGUAACUGAUAACACAAGCAUUAUGCAUAUAAAAUAAUGAUAGGAACUAGCAAUCCUUAAAAACUCCAGUAGCUGUAUAUAAUUUGGUAGUUACUUUUUAUCUAUAAGAAGUUUGCAUGUUUAAAAAAAUAAAAAAUCAUUUAUUUUCAAAAAGUA